UCUCUACUCUCUUCUCUCUAUUUUCAUUUUUUCUAUGUUUUUUAUUAUUCCUUCUCAAAAAAGAGAAGGAUAUAGAUUGGUUUCGAAAAACAUUUUUCACCAUUGAAGUUGUACUCAAAAGCUUGUGAAGUUUUGGAGUUUAAGUCUAACUUAAAGUUCUGGACCAAAGCUUGUCUUUCAACAAAGAGGAAGAACCAUUGGCUGUAUGAAGAGUCACAUUUGAGGCUCUCUGAUCAGCAAUAGCAAGAUGAUGAUCACAAGCUUUGAUGGAAGAUUGGAGGUUGAAGAUGAUUAAGACAAUGAUUGGAGCUUGGAGACUAUGCCUUGUGCAUGCAAGAUGCACUCCUAAUGCAACAUUUAAUUUAAUUGAUGCAUGACAUAUAAUCGUAUGAAUAAUUAACAUGCCAUCCCAUAAUUA